GAUGAACGCUGGCGGCGUGCCUAAUACAUGCAAGUCGAGCGAACGGACGAGAAGCUUGCUUCUCUGAUGUUAGCGGCGGACGGGUGAGUAACACGUGGAUAACCUACCUAUAAGACUGGGAUAACUUCGGGAAACCGGAGCUAAUACCGGAUAAUAUUUUGAACCGCAUGGUUCAAAAGUGAAAGACGGUCUUGCUGUCACUUAUAGAUGGAUCCGCGCUGCAUUAGCUAGUUGGUAAGGUAACGGCUUACCAAGGCAACGAUGCAUAGCCGACCUGAGAGGGUGAUCGGCCACCCUGGAACGGAGACACGGUCCAGACUCCUACGGGAGGCAGCAGUAGGGAAUCUUACGCAAUGGGCGAAAGCCUGACGGAGCAACGCCGCGUGAGUGAUGAAGGUCUUCGGAUCGUAAAACUCUGUUAUUAGGGAAGAACAUAUGUGUAAGUAACUGUGCACAUCUUGACGGUACCUAAUCAGAAAGCCACGGCUAACUACGUG
rnacentral:rRNA from 1 species